UUCAACAUAGUAGUGAAGCAUGUGACCCAGGUCUAAGCCAAUCAAAACUCCACGUUCCCCAGGCCACGGUGAUUGGUGCAGAAUGUUCACAUGACCCAAUCUGACUCAGGUAGAUCACGAGAGACUCUACCCUUCCAUCUGAAACUUAAUCUGGAAUUGAAGACUGUGGGAAGAGCUGUGGCUACAUUAUAAUCACAAGAGUUAUAGAUUUUUGCUGAGCUUUACACACCAGUUUAAGAAAUCUGACCUGAAGAAGUCAUCGUAUCGGUGAAUACAGAUCAAUUUUUCAAGAUAAAGAAACUGAAGAACAAAGAAUUAUUUAAAAUGGAAGUGGCAGAAUCCAGAUCCAAACACAGACACCUCUGCAGCAAAAGACUACAGGUCUCCUAAUGACUGUUAAGUGAAAAGAGGGACUGAUGGAAAAGGUUGACGCAAUUUCUUAUGCCAAACCACAAGGUGUCACUUAGCAGGUGACAGCCAUAUCAUCAAAGGAUCAUAGCUACAAUUCCCAAAGACCAAGAAAUGAUCUGAUUUUUUAAUACCACCCCUGCAUAAACUCCUAAAAAG